rnacentral:piRNA from 1 species
UCAAUUCUUGUGCUUGACUAUUUUGAGG